rnacentral:rRNA from 1 species
CAGUAGCCGCGGUAAAACGGAGGGAGCUAGCGUUGUUCGGAAUCACUGGGCGUAAAGCGCACGUAGGCGGCUAUUCAAGUCAGGGGUGAAAGCCCGGGGCUCAACCCCGGAACUGCCUUUGAAACUAGAUAGCUUGAAUCUUGGAGAGGCGAGUGGAAUUCCGAGUGUAGAGGUGAAAUUCGUAGAUAUUCGGAAGAACACCAGUGGCGAAGGCGACUCGCUGGACAAGUAUUGACGCUGAGGUGCGAAAGCGUGGGGAGCAAACAGGAUUAGAUACCCCAGUAGUCCCUGUCUCUUAUAC